rnacentral:tRNA from 1 species
GGAGUUGUAGCUCAAUAGUAGAGCACUAGCCUAGCAUGUGUGAGGCACUGAGUUCAAUCCUCAGCUCCA